AGUGAACGCUGGCGGUAGGCCUAACACAUGCAAGUCGAACGGCAGCACAGUAAGAGCUUGCUCUUACGGGUGGCGAGUGGCGGACGGGUGAGGAAUACAUCGGAAUCUACUUUUUCGUGGGGGAUAACGUAGGGAAACUUACGCUAAUACCGCAUACGACCUACGGGUGAAAGCGGGGGAUCUUCGGACCUUGCGCGAUUGAAUGAGCCGAUGUCGGAUUAGCUAGUUGGCGGGGUAAAGGCCCACCAAGGCGACGAUCCGUAGCUGGUCUGAGAGGAUGAUCAGCCACACGGGAACUGAGACACGGUCCAGACUCCUACGGGAGGCAGCAGUGGGGAAUAUUGGACAAUGGGCGCAAGCCUGAUCCAGCCAUACCGCGUGGGUGAAGAAGGCCUUCGGGUUGUAAAGCCCUUUUGUUGGGAAAGAAAAGCAGCAGGUUAAUACCCCGCUGUUCUGACGGUACCCAAAGAAUAAGCACCGGCUAACUUCGUG
rnacentral:rRNA from 1 species